AGUUCAAUCCUCCCUCCUCCCCACUGUUCAACCGCAACGACUUUAUCUCAUCAAGUAUGCGCUCUCUCACGUGAGGCUUCGACGAGAUCUCCCAGAAAAACCACGUGAGCGAUGAUGGCAUAGUAUCCCUGCCUGCUAUCAGAAAACUUAUCAUGUUAUCACAAAUAGCCUCGUUUGUAAGCUCUCCGCUCGCAGCGAAUCUCGACACCAGGUCGAGGCGAGCGGAGGAGCGGGUUCGCUGCAGCGACUCAAUCGAGCCGCGGACUGCAGCGAGGCUGGCUCGGAGCUUGCGCUCCAAGCCAGUGUUGAGCCACCGCCGGAGCUUCCAG
rnacentral:misc_RNA from 1 species